rnacentral:rRNA from 1 species
CGGACGGGUGAGUAACGCGUGGAUAACCUGCCUUGCACUGGGGGAUAACACUUAGAAAUAGGUGCUAAUACCGCAUAAGCGCACGGUCCUGCAUGGGACAGUGUGAAAAACUCCGGUGGUGCAAGAUGGACCCGCGUCUGAUUAGCUGGUUGGCGGGGUAAAGGCCCACCAAGGCGACGAUCAGUAGCCGGCCUGAGAGGGUGGACGGCCACAUUGGGACUGAGACACGGCCCAAACUCCUACGGGAGGCAGCAG